rnacentral:lncRNA from 1 species
AUCCUGAGUCAAGUUACUUCUUUAAAUCUGUGAAAAUAGUAAAAUAUAGAAUAAUGAGCUAGACAGCCUAGUAAGUAAUAUCUAUUUUAGCUAAAUAAAUUUAGUGGUAAUAAUAUAUAAAAAUAAGCAUGUAAGAUACGUCAAUUCAAAAUACAUAACACUAAUCAAAAUAAGAUCCAAGUGGAUUUAAUCUUUUAAAAAUUUACUUUCAAAUUUAUUUUCAUUCAUAAAUCAAUUUCUUUUAAAAUAUCUAGUUUAUCUUGACAGUGAUGAACUAAAUCAAAAUACUAGCAUACAACUUUCAUUGGUAGAGUAUCG